rnacentral:rRNA from 1 species
GACGAACGCUGGCGGCGUGCCUAAUACAUGCAAGUCGAACGAGUGGCGGACGGGUGAGUAACACGUGGGAACCUACCCAUCAGAGGGGGAUAACACUUGGAAACAGGUGAUAAUACCGCAUAGAUGGAUGGACACGGGGGGCAUUAUCUAGUUGGUGAAGUAACGGCUCACCUAGGCGACGAUCUCUAGCUGGUCUUAGAGGAUGAUCAGCCACACUGUGACUGAGACACGGCCCAGACUCCUACGGGAGGCAGCAGUGGGGAAUAUUGUACAAUGGGCGCAAGCCUGAUGCAGCCAUGCCGCGUGUAUGAAGAAGGCCUUAGGGUUGUAAAGUACUUUCAGCGGGGAGGCGUUACCCGCAGAAGAAGCACCGGCUAACUCCGUGCCAGCAGCCGCGGUAAUUC